UCCUGCGCUCCGCUGCUAGUGCUUGCGGCACCAAAAGCUGGGCCAGGACCGAGGGAUGGUGGUGGGAUGAGGCUAGACCCCCUUCACCCAUCCUGGAACCUUGCUGAAUUCAUCAGGGCCACGGCCUGGGUCCGCUAACCCACACCUGACGCCCGAGGGACAAAGGACAAGAUGGCAGGGUAGAGACCCUUGGAUUUGCUCCUUUUGGAUUUUUGGAUUUGGACCUGACUUUCUUUGUCAAUCCUCAUGCCCGAUCCAGUGGUCAAAGAAGGAGGAGACCCAACGGCUGUUUCUUUCUCCCUUCAUUUUUCCAACAAAGAAGCUUCAUGAGAACAUUAACACCGAAAGAAAAUUGUGUUCACUGCAGGACUUUUCAAGGAUCGGUGGAAAGAUUUAUGUAAACAAAUUAUUCAGUUCUUCCUUUGGUGACCUUGGGCCUAAGAGUGAACGCGAUGAUCCUAUGGCUUUUUGCCCUUUCCUCAAUACAGAAGCUGCAGACUGCGCUCAGCAAGACCUCACCAAAUGGAGGAAAAUUAAAGAGAGAAAUGGUCCAUGGUGUAUUCUUACCCGCCAUAAAUUGGCGUCAUUUUGGCCACCAUCCAGGAGAGAGACACCAGCCUAUAGAAACAGAGAAAGAAGAUCAGAAGCUGAUGGAAGGAAGGGAGGUUGGUCGUGCUGCUGUCCUCAGGAAGGUAGAGGGAAGCCGAGCAGGAAUUAACAGGAGUGAAUAGUCAGCAAGGGUGUUUUACAGGAAAUAACUCUAUCUACUGAGGUUUUCCAACAAAUGCAGAAUUCAGCGUAGCAGAUCAAAAGAAAGAAAGGAAGGAAGAAAGAAAGAAAAAGAAAAAGAAAGAAGAGAAUAAUUAUGUCCAGAAUUGUCCCAAUUGUCCUGCUCAGUGCAAACACACACAAACACACACACACACACACACACACACACACACACACACACCCUGCAGCCUAUAAUCCUCCCUCAUGCCCCUAUCCUGUUGAUCUUUCUUCACUUAAAAAUUAUCGGCAAAGAAUUUAUUCAUUUGGGAGAAUUCCAGGCACUACAUUUAUGUUCAGUUCAAAUGAAAUGGGAUCCAGACUUUUCAAACUGUGCUGUUCUGCAGAUAAAACACAAAGGCAGGACCUCAUUAUCUGGAGACAUGGUCCUUUCUUUUUCCUGUUGCCUUUUGUUUCUAAGCAAUUUUAGGCUUGUUUGGAAAGUCUCAUAACAGGGGCAGAACAUUUUUCACCACAUCUAUUUCAGGAGGGUUUUUAGUUAGGAAUAAUGAAUUUACCUCUAAACAGAUGGAAGAGUUUUACUAAAGCUAGAAACGACACUUUUCUUAAUAUCCCCGAUAGGCUGAUCUUAAUCCUCUCAUUGUUAAAAAUGCUUGGUCUAUGAGAGUCUUAUUUAUGUGCCAAGUGUCUUUAUUAAAUCAUGAAAUUAACACAGAAAAAAAUCCUAUUACAAUGGGUUUCUGUAUAUGAUCAAAAGUUGUUCAUGGUCCUGCUGAUAGACUACUUAUUCCAAAAUUUAAAAAGGUGAAAUCCCAAUAGAGCCCAAUGCUUGGCUGAGGUUUUAAAAAUUCAUUGUAAAAUGGCCGGAGGGGUUAUGAGGCCCCCAGCCAAGAAAAGGCCCACGUUUUAUCAAGGCAGUAGUCCCUAACAAAAAGAAAACUGUGAAAGAUAGGCCUCCCAUUCACCCAUACAAACGAAUUCCUGGCAACAUUGUAAUAUGAUUUGACCUGUAGAAACACAACAAGUCUCUGAUAUCCACUUUGAUUUUUAAGAACCUAAGAGGCAAAUUCAAAGACAAAUUGCACUAGUGAAUCCAGGGUUGUGGGAUGCUAAAAGAGUUUAAAAAGUCAAGAGAAGCAGUUUGGUAUGUUUGUAUAUUGGAUUUUGAAAUUGAACUAAAAAUAUAUUUUUUUGAAUGCAGAAGUAGUACAUGUUCGUCACAGGAGAAAAAAUUCCCUCAAUACCCUUCCCAUUGAGAAAGUACACUGGUUUGGGGUUUCCAAACUCGAUUCUUGCCUUUACAUGAAAGUGAGUGUUAAUGGCUCUGUGUUAGGGCUUAGUCUAGAAGCGCAGGUCCUGAUGGACAUUAGGAGAACCUAAAAAGAGAAAAAGAGAUCCAACUUGGAGCGGUCAAGGUCUGUGGCCUGUUAGGGGGACCUGGAGGGCUCCGUUAACCACCUAAGGGAAGGCAACAGGAGGUCCAGAUGAAGCAGAAGACACGGGAGGACCAUGCACGAUGGAAGAUCUUAGGUAGAACCAACAGGUAGCAGAUAAGCUGGGACAGACGUGACUGAUGUCAGACAGAGAGACGGAGCCUGCAAAGGGCUUUGACCCCGGAGAUGCGUUUAAAAUCCUUUAGCCUUUCAAAGAUGGUUAACCCAAAUUACUUUUCUUGCUUGUUCAGAUGCCUUAAUAUCUCAUACCAUUACCAAGGACCUGCCAUGUUAAAAAAUAAACAUUUGGGAAGCGA